UCCCAUGUAGCUCAGUUAGUAGAGCAUGGCGCUUGCAACGCCAGGAUUGAGGGUUCGAUUCCCAUGAGGGAU
rnacentral:tRNA from 1 species